UACGGAGGGUGCAAGCGUUAAUCGGAAUUACUGGGCGUAAAGCGUGCGUAGGUGGUUCGUUAAGUCCGUUGUGAAAGCCCCGAGCUCAACUUGGGAAUUGCAGUGGAUACUGGCGAGCUGGAGUGCGGUAGAGGAAGGUGGAAUUCCCGGUGUAGCGGUGAAAUGCGUAGAGAUCGGGAGGAACACCAGUGGCGAAGGCGGCCUUCUGGACCAGCACUGACACUGAGGCACGAAAGCGUGGGGAGCAAACAGG
rnacentral:rRNA from 1 species